GAUGAACGCUAGCGGCAGGCUUAACACAUGCAAGUCGAGGGGUAACAGGAGAUAGUUUACUAUUUUGCUGACGACCGGCGCACGGGUGAGUAACGCGUAUACAAUUUGCCUUUUACAGGAGGAUAGCCCAGAGAAAUUUGGAUUAAUACUCCAUGGUAUUACGGAAUCGCAUGGUUUUGUAAUUAAAGUUUCGGCGGUAGAAGAUGAGUAUGCGUCCUAUUAGCUAGUUGGUAAGGUAACGGCUUACCAAGGCGACGAUAGGUAGGGGUCCUGAGAGGGAGAUCCCCCACACUGGUACUGAGACACGGACCAGACUCCUACGGAGGCAGCAGUGGGGAAUCUUAGACAAUGGGGGCAACCCUGAUCUAGCCAUGCCGCGUGAGUGACGAAGGCCCUAGGGUCGUAAGCUCUUUCG
rnacentral:rRNA from 1 species